rnacentral:rRNA from 2 species
GCUAAUCCUGGUCGGACAUCAGGAGGUUAGUGCAAAGGCAUAAGCUAGCUUGACUGCGAGAGUGACGGCUCGAGCAGGUGCGAAAGCAGGUCUUAGUGAUCCGGUGGUUCUGAAUGGAAGGGCCAUCGCUCAACGGAUAAAAGGUACUCCGGGGAUAACAGGCUGAUACCGCCCAAGAGUUCAUAUCGACGGCGGUGUUUGGCACCUCGAUGUCGGCUCAUCACAUCCUGGGGCUGAAGUAGGUCCCAAGGGUAUGGCUGUUCGCCAUUUAAAGUGGUACGCGAGCUGGGUUUAGAACGUCGUGAGACAGUUCGGUCCCUAUCUGCCGUGGGCGCUGGAGAAUUGAGGGGGGCUGCUCCUAGUACGAGAGGACCGGAGUGGACGCAUCACUGGUGUUCGGGUUGUCAUGCCAAUGGCAUUGCCCGGUAGCUAAAUGCGGAAGAGAUAAGUGCUGAAAGCAUCUAAGCACGAAACUUGCCCCGAGAUGAGUUCUCCCUGAGACUUAGAGUCUCCUGAAGGAACGUUGAAGACGACGACGUUGAUAGGCCGGGUGUGUAAGCGCAGCGAUGCGUUGAGCUAACCGGUACUAAUGAACCGUGAGGCUUAACCUUACAACGCCGAAG